UUUGAAAAACAAAUAAUUAAGCAAAUCAAAAUAAUGAAGCCAAUAUGCUCAAUUAAGAGUGUUAGUAAUCCCAAAUGGUAACUUUUGAAUAUCGUCGCCCCAUUCUUUCUUCUCUUCUCUAGAUAGACGAUUUCUGGCAAGGGAGAAAACUUUUUCCGACAAGCUUAACUGCUCAGAUCUUCUCAGAUCUGAGCAAUAUCAUUACUAAUCUACAUAUAUUAGUUUAGAUAUAUACUAGAUUUGUGUUGAAAAGAAAUCAGAGAAAGAAAUUCAAAAACCUAAACCGUAACUCAUCUUCCCCAUCAAAACCCUAAAUCAACCGCCAUGGAUUUAGCCUAUCUCAUCGGCUAAAUCCUCGAUUUGUCGGUCCUUUGAAUUCAAUUGGGUUGUCUGCUUGCCGAUUUUGCAAUAUCGCCUUCAUUUCUGAAGAUUUGAUCUUGCUGCUGCUUUAGGGGUUUUGGAUUUCGUCGGAGAUUCCAAGGCUGGAGUAUUCUUCAAUAACUUACCCCGCCUAGGUUUCAUAUCUGAUUUUGAGAGCAUUUUACAGUUUAUGCACCUUAUGUCGAGAUUCGCAGCCAAAGCAUUCCAUCUCCCAUUCUUAGCUAGAUUAGCAUUUCAGCCUGCAGCCUCCCAAUUUCACUAAUCUCAAGUUUGGAUAAUUGUCAGUAUUGGUGCAUAACUUUUGAACUAGUAGCAAACCAAGGAAUGUAUUGCAACACCAUGUCUAC